CUGGCGACGGGUGGCGGACGGGUGAGUAAUACUUAGGAAUCUGCCCAGUAGUGGGGGACAACUCGGGGAAACUCGAGCUAAUACCGCAUACGCCCUAAGGGGGAAAGCGGGGGAUCUUCGGACCUCGCGCUAUUGGAUGAGCCUAAGUCGGAUUAGCUUGUAGGUAGGGUAACGGCCUACCUAGGCGACGAUCCGUAGCUGGUCUGAGAGGACGAUCAGCCACACUGGGACUGAGACACGGCCCAG
rnacentral:rRNA from 1 species